rnacentral:rRNA from 1 species
GACGAACGCUGGCGGCGUGCUUAACACAUGCAAGUCGAACGGAAAGGCCCUGCUUUUGUGGGGUGCUCGAGUGGCGAACGGGUGAGUAACACGUGAGUAACCUGCCCUUGACUUUGGGAUAACUUCAGGAAACUGGGGCUAAUACCGGAUAGGAGCUCCUGCUGCAUGGUGGGGGUUGGAAAGUUUCGGCGGUUGGGGAUGCACUCGCGGCUUAUCAGCUUGUUGGUGGGGUAGUGGCUUACCAAGGCUUUGACGGGUAGCCGGCCUGAGAGGGUGACCGGCCACAUUGGGACUGAGAUACGGCCCAGACUCCUACGGGAGGCAGCAGUGGGGAAUAUUGCACAAUGGGCGGAAGCCUGAUGCAGCAACGCCGCGUGCGGGAUGACGGCCUUCGGGUUGUAAACCGCUUUCGCCUGUGACGAAGCGUGAGUGACGGUAAUGGGUAAAGAAGCACCAGCUAACUACGUG